rnacentral:rRNA from 1 species
UACGUAGGUGGCAAGCGUUGUCCGGAUUUACUGGGCGUAAAGGGAGCGUAGGUGGAUAUUUAAGUGGGAUGUGAAAUACUCGGGCUUAACCUGAGUGCUGCAUUCCAAACUGAAUAUCUAGAGUGCAGGAGAGGAAAGUAGAAUUCCUAGUGUAGCGGUGAAAUGCGUAGAGAUUAGGAAGAAUACCAGUGGCGAAGGCGACUUUCUGGACUGUAACUGACACUGAGGCUCGAAAGCGUGGGGAGCAAACAGGAUUAGAAACCCCCGUAGUCC